GCCCGGAGGCUGUGGGGGGCGUGGGAGGAUACGUAAGGAGGAAGGACGGGAGUGUCGGGACAGAGUGGGAGGGACGGAGCGUUGGUGAACCGCAAGGAGUGGGGCCUUUGGGGAGUGGAGAAAUUGAAUAAAACUGGGCGGGCCUUAAAUAAGCAAAUUAAGAGGCUAGGAUUUGGUGGGCGAGGCCUAGAGGGGCGUGACCUUUGGGGCGGUGUCUCGGCGGAGCGUUGAGCUGCUUUGAGUGGGCGAGGGCAUCAUGGGGCGGAGCCUGACGUGGAAAUGUUAGCCCGCUCCCUUCUGCAGCGUAGCAUGAGACAUCGCACUCUAGCCUCCGUCCCGGCCCUGUGGGCCUCCAUCCCCUGUCCACGCUCUGAGCUGCGCCUGGACCUGGUUCUGGCUUCUGGACAGUCAUUCCGGUGGAGGGAGCAAAGCCCUGCGCACUGGAGUGGCGUGCUGGCCGACCAGGUAUGGACACUGACCCAGACUGAGGAGCAUCUUUACUGCACUGUGUACCGAGGGGAUAAGGGCCGGGUUGGCAGGCCCACACUGGAAGAGCUAAAGGCCGUGCGACAGUACUUCCGGCUGGAUGUCAGCCUUGCUCAGCUGUAUCACCAUUGGAGUUCUGUGGACCCCCACUUUCAAGAGGUGGCUCAGAAAUUCCAAGGUGUGCGACUCCUUCAACAGGAUCCCAUUGAGUGUCUCUUCUCCUUCAUCUGUUCCUCCAACAACAACAUUGCCCGCAUCACUGGCAUGGUGGAGCGGCUCUGCCAGACCUUCGGACCUCGGCUCCUCCAGCUUGAUGAUGUCAUCUACCAUGGCUUCCCCAGCUUGCAGGCCCUGGCUGGGCCACAGGUGGAGGCUCAGCUCAGGAAGCUGGGCCUGGGGUAUCGUGCCCGCUAUGUGAGUGCCAGUGCCCGAGCCAUCCUGGAAGAACGGGGUGGACUUCCCUGGCUGCAGCAGCUGCGCAAGGCGCCCUACGAGGAGGCCCAUAAGGCCCUCUGCACCCUGCCUGGGAUAGGCACCAAGGUGGCCGACUGCAUCUGCUUGAUGGCCCUAGACAAGCCCCAGGCUGUGCCCGUGGAUGUCCACGUGUGGCAGAUCGCUCAAUGUGACUACAGCUGGCACCCCACCACCAAGGGUCCGAGCCCCCAGGCCAACAAGGAACUGGGAACCCAGAGCUGUGGCAAGAGCAGCCUCUGUUCCACCCACUGUCAGCCAGAAGUGAGAAGCCCAGGCCAGUCGGGCCAUACAAGGCCACCAUGGGGCCUGGGCAGUAGGAAACAGGAAGCAGUGAUCAACUGGCUAGAGGAAGCACCACCCUGGACUCAGCCUCCCCAGCCAGUCAGGCCCAGGAGGUCCCCGUUUCACAGAAGGAACAACUGAGGCACAGAGAGAUGAAGGGUUCAGAAUCAGCAGUUGGUCAGAAGUAGAGUCGAAUUCGAACCCAAAGUGAUCUCCUCUACCUGGCAGGAAGCAUGGUGUGAGGCAGCCCCAACUUUCCAACUGAACCCAGCAAAAGAGGAGCUACACCCAGUUUCAUGUAUCAGUCUCAGGGAGGGACUCCGAUGGGCUCUGCUGGAGAGACAUGCCUAUGCCUUUACCCCCAGAACUGUUGCCAGAGGAAUAAGGUACUAUACAGGGUAAGUGUACUGUCAUGGGCAGCCACACCAAAGUCACAGGGGAUGAAGAUGGCUAUCCUGCCCAAAGGAAAUAGUCCUGGGCAGGCACAACUAACAAAUCCAUCCCAGCCGUGCUCCCAUCAGUCAGAAAAAAAAUGGCGUUAAUAUGUUUUGGUACAUAUUCUUCCAGACUUUUUUGGAUGUGUAUACAUAUACACACUUCCUCCUACAGCCCCCAUUUCCAGUGAGCAUAUUUCAAGGUACUGAAGCAAAAAGUCAAGGAAAGUCAAAUAUAUGAAAAAAAAAAAGUAAAGGAAAUAAUCCUCUUCUCUCUUUUGUUAUUAAAAAAUGACAGAACAACUCAGACAUCUCCAUCAAUUCUUUUAUUAUUAUUUAUUUAUUUGGCUGCACCAGGGCUUAGUUGAGGCAUGUGGGAUCUUUAGUUGCAGCGUGCAGGAUCUUUAGUUGCGGCAUGCGAACUCUAAGUUACAGCAUGUGGGAUCUAGUUCCCUGACCAGGAAUCAAACCUGGGCCCCCUGCAUUGGGAGCUCAGAGUCUUAGCCACUGGACCACCAGGGAAGUCCCUCCAUCAAUUCUUGAAUCCAACAGAAAAUUAGCCAUUAGAUGAGUGAAUGAUCUUUUAAGAUUAGAGAAAAAUGGAAGAAAUCACAAGGAAAAGAUGGACAGGUUUCUUUACAAACAUAAAAACAUUCUUUUUUUUAAUUGAAGUAUAGUUGAUUUACAAUGUUGUGUUAAUUUCGGCUGUACAGCAAAGUGAUUCACCUAUACAUAUAUAUAUAUAUAUAUAUAUAUAUGUAUAUGUAUAUGUAUAUAUACACAUUCUUUUUUUAUAUUCUUUUCCAUUACGGUUUAUCAUAGGAUACUAAAUAUAAUUCUCUGUGCUAUACAGUAGGACCUUGAGUUUAUCCAUUCCGUAUAUAAUAGCUUACAUCUGCUAACCCCAGCCUCCACCCCAUCCCUCCCCCAACCCCCUCCCUGUUGGCAACCACAAACCUGUCCUCUAUGUCUGUGAGUCUGUUUCUGCUUCGUAGAUAGGUUCAUUUCAUGUUAUAUUUUAUCUUAUUUAUGUAUUUAUUUUUUGGCCAUGCUGCUCGGCUUGCGGGAUCUUAGUUCCCAGACCAAGGAUCGAACCUGAGCCAUGGCAGUGAAAGUGCCAAGUCCUAACCCCUGGACCACCAGGGUGUUCCUUGUGUCAUAUUUUAGAUUCCACCUGUAAGUGAUACCAUAUGGUUAUUUGUCUUUCUCUUUCUGACUUGGUUCACUUAGUAUGAUAAUCUCUAGUUGCACCCAUGUUGCUGCAAAUGGCAUUAUUUCAUUCUUUUUUAUGGCUGAGUAGUAUUCCAUUGUAUAUAGGUACCCCAUUUUCUUUAUCCAGUCAUCUGUAGAAGGACAUUUAGGUUGUUUCCAUGUCUUGGCUAUUGUGAAUAGUGCUGCAGUGAACAUAGGGGUGCGUGUAGCUUUUUGGAUUAGAGUUUUUUCUGGAUAUAUGCUCAGGAGUGGGAUUGCUGGAUUAUAUGGUAGCUCUAUUUUUAAUUUUCUGAAGAACCUCCAUUCUGUUCUCCAUAGUGGCUGCACCAACUUAUAUUCCCACCAACAGUGUAGGAGGGUUCCCUUUCCUCCACACCCUCUCCAGCAUUUGUUAUUUGUAGCGUUUUAAUGAUGGCCAUUCUGACCAGUGUGAGGUGGUGCCUCAUUGUAGUUUUGAUUUGUAUUUCUCUAAUAAUGAUGUUGAGCAUCUUUUCAUGUGCCUAUUAGCUAUUUGUAUUUCUUCUUUGGAGAAAUGUCUAUUUAGGUCUUCUGCUCAUUUUUCCAUUGGGUUGUUUGUUUUUUUGUUUUUGAGUUGUAUGAGCUGUUCGUAUAUUUUGGAAAUUAAGCCCUUGUCUGUUGCAUCACAAAUAUAAAAACAUUCUUAACUUCUGUUUUUGGAAACAAAGCAAAAAAAGAAAAAAAGAAAAACCCUACCUUAUUCCAAAAUCAUAACUAACAGUAAAAGGCAAACUUCAGACUGGGGAAAUGUUUUACAAACAAUGGGUUAAUAUUUCCAUUAUGAAAAGAACAUAAAAUUGAUAAUAGACUAAGAACCCAAUAAAUGGUCAAAGGAGACAGAUGAAACACAAUGAACAUGGAACAUUCUCUACCUCACAAGUAGUUAAGGAAGUACAAACUAAAAGAAGCCAUUUAUACCCUCUCAAAUAUAAAGGUUAAAAAAACUGGUAACCCCAAAAGCUGGUGUUAGUGUGAGCAAUGGAUACUUCUACAUUUCUGGUGGGAAAAUGACUUGCUAAAAAUCUUUCUUUUGGAAAGCAAUUUGGCAGUAUGCAUCAAAGGCUUAAAUAAUGUCCAGGCCUGGGACUUCCCUGGUGGUGCAGUGGUUAAGAAUCCGCCUGCCAAUGAAGGGGACACGGGUUUGAGCCCUGGUCCAGGAGAUCCCACAUGCCUUGAAGCAACUAAGCCCAUGAGCCACAGUUACUGAGCCUGUGCUCUAGAGACCACAAGCCACAACUGCUGAGCCUGCACUCCACAACUACUGAAGCCUGCGCACCUACAGCCCGUGCUCCACAACAAGAGAAGCCACCGCAGUGAGAAGCCUGCACACCACAACGAAGAGUAGCCCCUGCUCGCCGCAACUAGAGAAAGCCUGCACGCAGCAAUGAAGACCCAACGCAGCCAAAAAUAAAUAAAUAAAUAAAUAAAUUUAUUAAAAAAAGAAAUAAUGUCCAGGCCUUUUGACCCAGGAAUUUCUCUUCUGGGAAUGAAUUUCAGGGAAAUAAUCCUAAAUUA